AGUGAACGCUGGCGGCGUGCCUAAUACAUGCAAGUCGAACGGAGUGGCGCACGGGUGAGUAAUGUAUAGCUAAUCUGCCCUACACUAGAGGCCAACAGGUGGAAACGGCUGCUAAUACUCUAUAGUGUAGGAUGAGGCUAUAUUGUAUCAGCUAGUUGGUGAGGUAAUGGCUCACCAAGGCUAUGACGGAUAACUGGUCUGAGAGGAUGAUCAGUCACACUGGAACUGAGACACGGUCCGGGCUCCUACGGGAGGCAGCAGUAGGGAAUACUGCUAAAGGGGGGAAAGCCUGAAACAGCAACGCCGCGUGGAGGAUGACACUUUGCGGAGCGUAAACUCCUUUUGUUAGGGAAGCGGUACCUAACGAAUAAGCACCGGCUAACUCCGUGCCAGCAGCCGCGGUAAUAC
rnacentral:rRNA from 1 species